UCUCCGUUGGUGAACCAGCGGAGGGAUCAUUACCGAGUUUACAACUCCCAAACCCCUGUGAACAUUACCACUGUUGCUUCGGCGGACGGCGCGAGCCGCCCGUCGAGGGUCUAAACUAUUGUCUUUGAACGAGUAUUCCGAGUGGCACAAGCAAAUAAAUCAAAACUUUCAACAACGGAUCUCUUGGUUCUGGCAUCGAUGAAGAACGCAGC
rnacentral:misc_RNA from 1 species